CCUUCUAGUGCCAGCUCUUCACCUUUCGGUCUUUUGGUUUGCCUUUGGCCCCGUCGCACGGCGGUCAUAGGUAAUAGAGGCCAGUCAGUCGCCGGUGUGCGUUGAACCGGAGGCGCCAAAGUAGCCACGCGGAUGAAGAGUGUAGAGGUCGAGCGUAUUUAUCGGGCGCCGGACGUUCGAUCCUGCCGUUCGUUUGGUGUAGUCUAGCUCGGUUCUUUGGAAGAGAGUAGUAAAGAUUAGCAGGGUAUCAACUGAGAACAAGUACUACCGCCCCUAGCUCCGUCGCAGACGCCGCCGCCGCCGCCUCCGGUCAGGCCACCUCCUCCCCUGCUGGUUGUUCUGCCACCACGACCAGCCGCACCUGCUGUCGCUGGUGUCGAUGGCGCGCGAGCUCACCCGGCACGCAAUGCACCGCCUCUGCCGGCCGGGGCCCCGCGGCCACCUCGAGCAGCAGCAGGUGCGGUUCGGCCGGCACAGGAGGCAGCAGUGCGAGCCGCCGGGGCGGCGGCGGCCCCUGCACCACUCCAUGCACCUGCGCCUGGACGCGUCCUCCCGGCUCCUCCAGCAGCUGUCCCGAGCGGCGGAGACGCGGCGGUUGAGCCACGUCCCUCACCACUUCCACUAGCUGCCCCUCGGCUCCAUGCACGAGACGUUGCGGCAGCUCUUCGUGGUGCGGCUGAACGAGCAGCAGCCGUCGGUACCGAUGCCGCGGUAGUUCUCCCGUAAAGAACCCUCGCACUCGCUGAUGACGCGGGUGGUGCGCGUGACGAGGCAGUACUAUCAGUUCGUCGGGUUCGGGUUCCUUACUAGCUAGCUGUAAAGGUCAAGCGGUCACAACCGUAACACGGUAAACGCACGGGUGCAUGACGUGACAUAGGGACAGAUUAAUGACAUGAGAUAAUUAAGCAACCUAGGAGGCUUGCAAAUAUGUAGCCACGGACUGUACUGCGAAACCCAAGUAGAAGACCACAGUAGCGGCAAACGGCGUGUACAAACGUGGUAAUUCGGCCGUUCAACUUUCUAACCCACAUGUAAAUAGAGAAGUCAACAGUAAAGCCCGGUAACGUAGUUACUAUUGUUUGCGGACCUGUCUCCACCCACUCUAACUAUGGAAAUUCGAUUCUCCUAUAAUGUACUGCUAUUACGUAAAAAAAAGCUCUCAUGCAGUUACUACACAAAAUAAAAAUAUCUUCCUCUCGUUUCAGUAAAUGUUCUUCAUACAGGGUUUACGCUUGUAAGCCC
rnacentral:rRNA from 1 species